rnacentral:rRNA from 1 species
ACAUUAGUUAGAUGGUAGGGUAACGGCCUACCAUGACUAUGAUGUCUAGGGGUUCUGAGAGGAAGGUCCCCCACACUGGAACUGAGACACGGUCCAGACUCCUACGGGAGGCAGCAGUGAGGAAUAUUGGACAAUGGAUGGAAAUCUGAUCCAGCCAUGCCGCGUGCAGGAAGAAUGUCCUAUGGAUUGUAAACUGCUUUUGUAUGGGAGCAAUAAGGUCUUCGUGAAGGCCGAUGAGAGUACCAUACGAAUAAGCACCGGCUAACUCCGUGCCAGCAGCCGCGGUAAUACGGAGGGUGCAAGCGUUAUCCGGAUUUAUUGGGUUUAAAGGGUGCGUAGGCGGUUAUAUAAGUCAGCGGUGAAAUUUUUCAGCUUAACUGGAAACAUGCCGUUGAUACUGUAUAGCUUGAAUAUGGUUGCUGUGAGUGGAAUGUGUAGUGUAGCGGUGAAAUGCUUAGAUAUUACACAGAAUAUCGAUUGCGAAGGCAACUCACAAAGCCAAUAUUGACGCUGAGGCACGAAAGUGUGGGGAUCAAACAGGAUUAGAUACCCUGGUAGUCCACACUGUAAACGUUGAUAACUAGCUGUCGGCGAUAGAGUGUCGGUGGCCAAGCGAAAGCGAUAA